UAUAUCUUCCAGUCCCACCUCAUCCUUGUGACAUACAGUGAUGGAAAUCUUCCCUGCUGCACAGCUUUUGUUACCUCCUGAGGCACAGGUCCUCUGAUGCCCCCACGAGCAGGUUUGGCUUGAGCUGUGCUAGCUCCUGGCUAGCCAACUUCAUCCUGAGCUCAGCAGGCUGCAGUGGGAGGCCUACCUGUAACUCCUGUGACUGACCUGAAGGAAUUCCUCAUACAGAACUUCAGAGCAUUUUUGUUGGCAUGCACUUGCCCCCGUGUGCAUGGAUGGACGUCUGAGCGAUGUUACUCUUCCAGAGAAAGAGAAGACCGACUGCUUCAGCCAGGUACCCAGAUUUGCCUUCCCUUCCACUUGUGGCACAGAUGCCAUAGCCAAGCAGUUGUCGUCAUUAAGCUGUAAAAGCAGGAGUCCGCAUGAGAAGGAAAUGGGCACAUAAAGCCAUCCCUUACAAAAGGCAACACCCCUGAGAUUAUUCCUGCUUUAAGAGUCUUUCUAAUUUGUAAAUUGGUGAAAGGAAGCCCAGCUUUUGUACAAAGGUUGGGAUAAAUCUUUUUACAACAAGCGGCACUAAACCUGUGGCGGGGGCAAGUCCUGUGCAGGUGUGAAAAGUGAGUGCAACCAAUGGAGCCACGCGGAAUGGUGUCAGCUGAGAGUACAAGCUCUGCUAGAGAGCUGAGCAAAUCACAGCCUGGCCUCCAAACAGCUUUGACAGAACAGGUUUUUCUCAAUAUUGUGGCCAGGGUGGGCAAAUCUGAGACAGGCUUCUGUUUUCAUGACAUGUUAAUAAUGUUGGAACAAGGUUGAAUCAGGUGUUGAAGGUGAAAAAUAACGAGUAUGUGUUAUCCCAAGCAGCCUGUGUCAGUGUCUGCACAAUUUCCACUUGCAAUGAGUUUGCUCUAACACUUGUGAUUGUAAUUCAUUACCAAUGGUAUGACACAGUCUGUUUGUGCGUCAUCCCCAGUGGGAGCUGCAGGAGACGACAUACCCUUCCCUAACUGUAUGUUCCCUAAAAAACUGGGGGACCACAUCCACCCUACCACCCUUUGAAAAUGGAGCUAAAGCAUGCUCUUUUGUGUAGGGAGGGAACCAGCGAGCACAGACUGUGGGUAACCACUCCAGCAUUCCCACGCAUUGCCAAGCACCAGCAAGCCUUGAAUUUACGAGCUCAGUCUGAGUUGCAAAUUGAACAAGACCUGCUUAUGCUUCUUUUGAAUUUCCUGGAUGCAUAGUUUUGAUCCUUAUGUUUCAUUGCGUUAAAUUCUUUCUUGUUUGGGACAGUAUAAAACUUCUGCUUUCUUUUUCUGCAUUAGCAAGAAAGAAUCACUUUGUAUUCUGGGCGUUUUGCAAAAGAAGUUUAACUGAAAUUGUUGUUUAUAGUCAUAACCGAAAAGCACUUCCUUUCAUGUUUCAUUUUAAAUGCAGCUCUGAUGCUCACUAGUAAUAAAAUACAAACUCAUCCUUGC